UGUUAGCCGGGAUGCGCCGGUACAGAGCUGUGUCCGUUGGGGUUGUGUAGGCAAGCAUCUUCUUGGCAAGGUCCUCGUAGGUGGCCGCAAACAGUUUACGGCUGUGGGAUGAGAACUUGUCUUGUGAAUGUGACGUUGGGAGGAGGGAAGCACAGGGGAGGAGGAGGACGAGGAGGAAGAGAGUGAAGAGUCACAAGAGGAGGAGGAAGGUGGAAAGAAAGAGGAAGGAGAGGAGGAGGAGGAGGAGGAGGAGGAAGAUGGAGAAGGAAAGGAGAAAGAUAAGAAGGAAGGCAAUGUAGAAUGGAGGCGUCCUUGGUUUAUGUUCAGUAAAGCCCCGUAUUCUUGUCAUGGCAAUGUAGAAUGGAGGCGUCCUUGGUUUAUGUUCAGUAAAGCCCUGUAUUCUUGUCAUGGCAAUGUAGAAUGGAGACGUCAUUGGUCACAUACUGUUCUAAUGUAUGUGCACUUGCCACGCUGUUCACCAGGCAAAAGGCGUUGCAGAAAGAGCGCGAGAUCACUGUGUUGUGGGAGAAGACAGAGUCCCUUAGUGGUCAGCUGGUGACGGUCCACAACCACAGCCACUUUGAAGAGAAUGGCCUGAGCCACGACCACCUUGCUCAAGAAAAUAUCACGUUGACAGAGCUGAUUAAACAACUAGAAGAUAAGCUCAAACUUUCAAAGAUAGAAAUAAAAAACAUCACAAGACAGAAUAGUGAGCUGCAUGCACUUAUCACAGAGUAUAAAGUCACUCCCUCAGAGGAAAAAGACAAGGAUGGCACGUCUUCAUGUGAGAACUCAGAAGCUAAAUGUACAGAUACCAAGGGGAAAUUGCUGGGUCAAGUGGCUACACUGACAUCUGAGGUUAGCAGGUUGGAGAGUGAGUGCAGCAGUCUUCAGGUUCAGCUAGACUGUGAGAGGGAUAAGUAUAACAAACUGCUGGGAGAAUCUCUUGCUCAUGAAAAGUUGUCUGAAGAUGUCAUAACUGAACCAAAAGGAGAAACAACAGGAUUGGGAGGAACUGAGCUUUAACAGAAGCUGCAACAACUGCAGGAGGCUCACAGGGUCCUGGAGAGCAGGUUAACUUGCAGCAUGAAGGAGGUGGCUGAGCUGAGUGACAGGAAGUAGCAGCUUGAGCAUGCUGUAGUGCAUGAGAAGACAGAGUCCAUCGGUGUGUGCAUGUUUUUUGCUCAUUUGAAUCAUCUGUAAAAGUGAAGUGGAGGAAGUGUUUACUGUUUACUGUAUGCCAUUUCCUUGGUCUUUUAAUGAAGAAUUUUAUCCUUCUUCAGGUGACUACAUCACCAUCUACCAGUUGCAGCGAGGAGUGAUGAAGCAACAAGCUCGAGAACGCGAGUUAGACCUUGCCAGCCUCCAUCAUGAAUGAGAGGAAAUGAAGCAAAACCACUCUGCAGGAUUUGAUAUCAAAGCUGGUGCAGGAAAAGGAAGCAGAUCAUGACCUUCAGCAGCUCGAGAAGAUAAGCAGCGUCCUUAUAUAUAUGUUAUAUAAAUAUGUUCCUUUCACUAUAAUAUAUUAUAUGUAUUAAAAACUGCAUGGAAUACUACUGUAUUCCAUGCACUUUGUAUUCCAUGUAUUCCAGCCACUCAGUCUCCUACUGAGUGGCUGGGGUUUUCCAAAAGUGAGGGUUGGUGUUCUAUACCAUACCAUGUGCCCUGUUUGUAUUCCUUCUCUAUCCUCUGUAUUAUAUUCUAUGUAAAGAUGGUGCUGGGGUGGGAUCUACUUCUUAUUCCCUAAAAGUGAUGAGGAGUGACACUGGGCAGCAUUAAUUUGCUCCUUACAGAUGGCUGGGUUCCUGUGGAUGAGUGGGCCAUGCUGUGCUUUGUCAAGGAUGGUGUUUGGUAUUGUGAUGACUCUUGCCACAAUCAAGUGUCUCCCACAGAGUAGUGGAGUACCUAUGUAUGGUGUUGACCCAAGCUGUCCAGGUCUCAUCCAAUGCCUUAAUAUGAUUUAGAUGAUCAAAAUGGUUUAACUCACCAUUUAAUCAGCUGACUGAUUUGAAUGGAGAAGUAUGUAAUGUGUUGUAGCCUAACCAUCCCUGCCAGCAUGGUCAGACUCUUGGUAGUAACCUGAAAUGCUCCUAGGUAGUGAGUAUCAUUGCACAUAAUGAUCUUUACUUUGUCAGUAAUUCAAUGAUACUGAAUAUUACUCUACUGGAUUUUGCUCAGCACUGCUUGGUAACUUUUGGCCAUAAUCCCAGGUCUGGAAUGAUAUGAAGCCAUGUUUUUACAUUCCAUAUGAGACAGGCAAGCACUAUGCUUUGCCUGACUGAUACCUGUACUUUGCAUUUAUGACCCCAGGUAGUUCAUCACUCUCUCUCUCUCUCUCUCUCUCUCUCUCUCUCUCUCUCUCUCUCUCUCUCUCUCUCUCUCUCUCUCUCUCUCUCUCUCUCUCUCUCUCUCUCUCUCUCUCUCUCUCUCUCUCUCUCUCUCUCUCUCUCUCUCUCUCUCUCUCUCUCUCUCUCUCUCUCUCUCUCUCUCUCUCUCUCUCUCUCUCUCUCUCUCUCUCUCUCUCUGUUUGGAAUUAUACUGUAUAUUAGGAAAUAUCAUUAAAGAGUGUGUGUGUAAAAAGUGUUUGCAUUAUUGUGCAUUUGAUGUUGGUUUCAUGAUUUAUAAAGAUUGCUAUUUUUAAUAAAGUUAUUGAAAUUGUUA